GAUGAACGCUGGCGGCGUGCCUAAUACAUGCAAGUCGAGCGAACAGACGAGGAGCUUGCUCCUUCGACGUUAGCGGCGGACGGGUGAGUAACACGUAGGUAACCUACCUAUAAGACUGGGAUAACUUCGGGAAACCGGAGCUAAUACCGGAUAAUAUUUCGAACCGCAUGGUUCGAUAGUGAAAGAUGGCUUUGCUAUCACUUAUAGAUGGACCUGCGCCGUAUUAGCUAGUUGGUAAGGUAACGGCUUACCAAGGCAACGAUACGUAGCCGACCUGAGAGGGUGAUCGGCCACACUGGAACUGAGACACGGUCCAGACUCCUACGGGAGGCAGCAGUAGGGAAUCUUCCGCAAUGGGCGAAAGCCUGACGGAGCAACGCCGCGUGAGUGAUGAAGGUCUUCGGAUCGUAAAACUCUGUUAUUAGGGAAGAACAAACGUGUAAGUAACUGUGCACGUCUUGACGGUACCUAAUCAGAAAGCCACGGCCAACUACGUG
rnacentral:rRNA from 1 species